GGAUGUGAUGACUAUCUGGCUGCGACAUCUGUUACCCCACUGAACGUCAGGAUUGAUUCAAUUGAUCUGGCUGGUUAGAUGGGUGUCAUUUCUUCCUCUUACCACUGCUUCUCUAUAGAGAAGAACCCUUCUUAGGUCAAAGGUAUAGGAGCAGCUGGACUUCCCUGCUACAACCUCCAAGGAAGCUCUCAAGGUCCAUUUGUAGGAGAACACAGGGUAGUCAAGUUUCCAAGAAUCCAGACACAUCUAAAUGAUUGGAGUUGCAUUUGGAAGUUUGCCCUUCUU
ensembl:misc_RNA 7SK 7SK RNA